GAAUUCGCCCUUAGAGUUUGAUUUUGGCUCAGGACGAACGCUGGCGGCGUGCCUAACACAUGCAAGUCGAGCGAAUGAAGUUCCUUCGGGAAUGGAUUUAGCGGCGGACGGGUGAGUAACACGUGGGCAACCUGCCUCGUAGAGGGGAAUAGCCUUCCGAAAGGGAGAUUAAUACCGCAUAAGAUUGUAGUACCGCAUGGUACAGCAAUUAAAGGAGCAAUCCGCUAUGAGAUGGGCCCGCGGCGCAUUAGCUAGUUGGUGAGGUAACGGCUCACCAAGGCGACGAUGCGUAGCCGACCUGAGAGGGUGAUCGGCCACAUUGGGACUGAGACACGGCCCAGACUCCUACGGGAGGCAGCAGUGGGGAAUAUUGCACAAUGGGGGAAACCCUGAUGCAGCAACGCCGCGUGAGUGAUGACGGCCUUCGGGUUGUAAAGCUCUGUCUUCAGGGACGAUAAUGACGGUACCUGAGGAGGAAGCCACGGCUAAUUACGUGCCAGCAGCCGCGGUAAUACGUAGGGGGCGAGCGUUGUCCGGAUUUACUGGGCGUAAAGGGUGAGUAGGCGGUUGUAUAUGUCAGGUGUAAAAGGCUAUGGCUUAACCAUGGUUAGCACUUGAAACUGUACAACUUGAGUGCAGGAGAGGUAAGUGGAAUUCCUAGUGUAGCGGUGAAAUGCGUAGAUAUUAGGAGGAACACCAGUGGCGAAGGCGACUUACUGGACUGUAACUGACGCUGAGUCACGAAAGCGUGGGUAGCAAACAGGAUUAGAUACCCUGGUAGUCCACGCUGUAAACGAAGAAAGGUUAGGUGUUGGGUAGGCGAUUUUCAAGCACCGGAGUCAACACAACAAGCACUUCUCCCGGGGGAGUACGUACGCAAAGCAUGAAAGUCAAAGGAAAUGACGGGGACCCGCACAAGCAGCGGAGCAUGUGGUUUAAUUUGAAGCACACGCGAAGAACCUUUUCAAGGCUCGACGUCCCCUUGCCCAGUGCAGAGAUGUACUGUUUUUUUCUGAAGCAAGGGAGACAGGAGGUGCAUGGUUGUCGUCAGCUCGUGUCGUGAGAUGUUGGGCUAAGUCCCGCAACGAGCGCAACCCACGUUUCUAGUUGCUCCCCGCAAGGGAGCUCUCUAGAGAGACCGCCGGGGACAACCCGGCGGAAGGGGCGGAUGACGUCAAGUCCUCAUGGCCCUCACAUCAUGGGCUACACACGAGCUACAAUGGUCGGUACAAAGGGUUGCAAUAUCGUGAGAUGGAGCCAAUCCCUAAAGCCGGCCUCAGUUCGGAUCGGAGUCUGCAACUCGUCUCCCUGAAGCGGGAAUCGUUAGUAAUCGUGGGUCAGCA
rnacentral:rRNA from 1 species